AGCGUGCUUCAGAUCUCCGGAGAUAGCACGGUACGCUGUGUUCAGCCCAGAGGUGGGAGCUAUUCAAAGCAAACUAACUGUGCGUUGUGUCCAAUCUGAUACCUGUGGAGAGAAAAGGAAAGAGAGAGUGAGUAACACAAGGAGAAACAGAGGAAACCUGUACUUACAGUACGCUGUGUUCAGCCCAGAGGUGAGAGCCAUUCAAAGCAAACUAACUGUGCUAUUGUGCCCAAGUUGAUACCUGUGGAGAGAAAAGGAGAGAGAGUGGGUAACACGAGGAGAGACCGAGGAAACCUGUACUUACGCCGCUGCCUGUGGAGAAAGAGAAAGCGAGUGAGCACCCAAGGAACGAACUGUGUGAACCAGUACUUACUGUGAGCUGCAAUCAGCGAAGAGGUGAGAGCAAAACCAAGCCGAAUUAACUGUGCCUUUGCGUCCCAGCCGUUGCCUGUGGAGGAAGAGAAAGAGAGUGAGCACCCUGAGAACGAACUGUGUGAACCAGUACUUACCGUGAGUUGUAUUCAGCGAAGAGGAGGAAGAAGGAGGGCGCUACGGAUACCUAAGACUCUGGCCGGGCCCCGAGUCCCACGCCCCGGAUCCCCGUGGCCCCCUUGCUCCCUGACCUCUUCCCGGCCAUAGCCCAUCUGGAGGGCCGAGUCAGAGUUUAGUUUUAAUUGCCCUUUCCCUAUUCCCCAAGCUAUUUUUAAAUAUUUAAAUAAAGAUUGUUUUAUCACUUA